CAUGUUCUUUUGUAGACAAGAGAGACUUAUAACACAUACUGUAUAUUGCAAUAACAUUCCAUUCCUCAUUCACUGCAUCAGCAUCCUAGAACAAUCCUUAAUUUGAAUAAUCCAGCCCCCAAGGCAUCUCACUGCAAAAUCAGUGUCUCAUUUUACCACAUUUUCAAUGAAAAAAUAUAUGACCUAUUGGAUCCAAAAAGGAGUGAGGUGAUCUGGGUGCGUGACUUUGAGGAGGUUGUGCGUCUCGAUGGGUUGACAGAGGUGGAAGUGAACUCCCCCCAGGAUCUGCUACAGGUGCAUCGCCGUGGCUCUGCCCUCAGACACACAGGGAUCUCAAAGGGAGAUUUUCCAAGCCGAUCCCACAAGGUAUUCAACAUUGUGGUCAUUAACACAAUGCUCCAGUCCCGUGGUAGGUGUUUUAUGUUUUUAUGUUUCUUAAACAUAUAUAUCUUUCUAGCUUCCC
ensembl:lncRNA